ensembl:lincRNA
AUGCCCUGCCUGCGAAACGCCAGUCUGGCAGUUUGUCGUCGGGUGGGGGUACGAACCCAGAUGAGACUGUUCAAAAAUGUGCUCGUUACCUCUGAGCUGCCCUGCCAGGCCGAGGGACCUUUCUCGGCAGAUUUUGGGCAAAACUUUAUCAGUGGUUCGGAUGGAAACAUUGGAUGCUUCAACAAUGGUAUGGCUGUGGCAGGAGGGUGGUCCACGUCUGCUCCAUUUCCAGCCUGGCUGCAGGGCCAAGGACUCAGCGAGGAUGCGGUCAGGGCCAUGAUAGCCGAUCUAGGCAUCAAGAGCCACGACGCUCUUCGUGCCUGUGCCGAACCGGCCCUAGUGAGAACCGAACUCUUUCUCGUGGCUCGGGAAAGGUUGCCCUUCGCCAUGUAUGUUGAGAUUCGCCGUUUUGUGGAAUCCCUGUGGGAACCGCCAUACCCUGAAUUAGGCCCCACGGAUUUGGUGAGUGGUCCUGGCAGCUCAGCGCUUCUAGCUGUGUUGUGCUCCAUGUUGAAUGGCAUGAUUCAGGAGCUUUCCAGUUGUGCCCAGAAGUUGAACUCUUUGUCCAACACUGGAAGGAGCAAUGCAAGAUUAAGCGACACCACUGAAGACUCCAACCAUGCCAUCGGGGGCUUUCAAGAAUUGUGCCAUCAAAACGAUGCUUUGGAAACGGAGCCUGUGUUAAUGGACAACUUGAAGAAUGAGCCGAGAGACUGGGAGCAAGAAACUGCAGAAGCAAAGUUAGAGGUGGAAGCAGAAGAUCAAGGAAACAGUGGCACAAGUUUGAUCACAUUUGUUGACGAUACAAUUCAAAGCUCUAAACGCCAUUCAAGAUCUGAGACUACCAAUGAGCAAUCAAGUGAUCUCCAAGGUUCAACGAGAGGUAAGCUAUCUCCAUCUUAAGAAGUAAAAUAAAAUAACGUAAAGAUUGUUGAAGACAUUUUAGUUUGAGAAAUUUAUUUAUUUAUUUUUGAGAUGCGAGUUAGGUGGUAUUCAUGAUUGGUCAUUGUUUACCAAUCACUGGUGCUAGUUUAACAAGAACGAGAAAUGCUUUGCGACACACGGCCCCUACCAAUCCCAAAUAAAGAAGAAGAAGAAGAAGAAGAAGAAACCCAACACCCAACCAUGUUUGGGUCUAUUCGACAUAAUAAAAGGGAAAGCAAUUUUUAUUUACUGAUAUAUUUUGUAGACAACAAACAAAUUGACGACUAGGAUAACAAACUGGAGAUAAAAAUGAGUUUGCUUUAACACAUGCUCGAGCCGAUACCAGAACCAAAAUGAAGAAGAAGAACUGUUGUCAACCAUCAUGCUUCGUGAGUUUCUCGGCUUUGCUUAUAUAUUAAAAAUAAUUUUAUGUACUGUACAUACAUGAAGGAAAAGCAUGCAUACGGCUUAUGUGCAUAUAUAAUACAUCAUGGUUAUAUACCUGUUGUAAUUCCGAUGGCACUGGUCCAUGGACGAACACAAAGGCCAAAGGCCUGAGGCCUGCCAAUCUGUGCUGCUUCACGCAAUGGCGGCACGUGGUUUUAGUGGGGUGGAAUCAGGGCAGCUGAACACUGACCCAUGUAUAAUAUGUGAUAUUGUUAAAGUUUAAAAAGGGCAUAACUGAAAAAUUGACAAAACUCCCUGAAACUCGAACUUGUUCUUCAACUUGCAUAAUAAAGCCAUGUACCAAGUUUCAGUUGAAUAUGCUAAAGGGUAUGGAGAAAAGGCUGAAACACCACAGGUGGAUGGACAGACAGAGUAAACCUAUAGUCCCCUCUGGUAAAACUCGUAGGGGACUACCGCAUUUUCUGGUGUAUAAACUGCGGCUGUGUAUUAACCACACCCCUGUUUUUCACCCCCAUUUUUUUUUUUGAAAAAAAAACAAACACUUUUCUUGUGUAUUAACCGCACCCAUGUUUUUCACCCUCAAAAUAAAUGAAUAUAUUGAUCAUUUUAUUUUCUAAUCAAAAUAAAAUAUGUUUGUACAUUAACUUUGUAUGGAGCAAAGUGACGGAGGUAUCAAUAUGCUUACUCCUAUGUCAACUUCAUUCAUACCGGUAUUGGGUGGUCGCUAGAGUACCCUUAUUGUCGGGUUUUGUGUGCCCCCCC